UGGGGAAUUUUGGACAAUGGGGGAAACCCUGAUCCAGCCAUCCCGCGUGUGCGAUGAAGGCCUUCGGGUUGUAAAGCACUUUUGGCAGGAAAGAAACGUCAUGGGUUAAUACCCCGUGAAACUGACGGUACCUGCAGAAUAAGCACCGGCUAACUACGUGCCAGCAGCCGCGGUAAUACGUAGGGUGCAAGCGUUAAUCGGAAUUACUGGGCGUAAAGCGUGCGCAGGCGGUUCGGAAAGAAAGAUGUGAAAUCCCAGAGCUCAACUUUGGAACUGCAUUUUUAACUACGGGGCUAGAGUGUGUCAGAGGGAGGUGGAAUUCCGCGUGUAGCAGUGAAAUGCGUAGAUAUGAGGAGGAACACCGAUGGCGAAGGCAGCCUCAUGGGAUAACACUGACGCUCAUGCACGAAAGCGUGGGGAGCAAACAGG
rnacentral:rRNA from 1 species